UGCAGUCGACGGGAUCUAGAAGCUUGCUUUUAGUGAGAGUGGCGCACGGGUGCGUAACGCGUAUGCAACCUACCUUAUACAGGGGGAUAGCCCGGGGAAACUCGGAUUAAUACCCCAUGGUACAUUUGGAUGGCAUCAUUUAAAUGUUAAAGAUUUAUCGGUAUAAGAUGGGCAUGCGUAGGAUUAGCUAGUUGGUAAGGUAACGGCUUACCAAGGCGACGAUCCUUAGGGGUUCUGAGAGGAAGGUCCCCCACACUGGUACUGAGAUACGGACCAGACUCCUACGGGAGGCAGCAGUAGGGAAUAUUGGGCAAUGGUCGAAAGACUGACCCAGCCAUGCCGCGUGCAGGAAGACGGCCUUAUGGGUUGUAAACUGCUUUUAUCAGGGAAGAAAAAGGUCAUGCGUGGCANAUUGCCGGUACCUGAUGAAUAAGCACCGGCUAACUCCGUGCCAGCAGCCGCGGUAAUACGGAGGGUGCAAGCGUUGUCCGGAUUUAUUGGGUUUAAAGGGUGCGUAGGCGGGGGAUUAAGUCAGUGGUGAAAGUCUUGGGCUCAACCCAGGAAUUGCCAUUGAUACUGAUUUUCUUGAGUGUCGAUGGGGU
rnacentral:rRNA from 1 species